CACUUAGAUGUUCUGGGCUGCACGCGCGCUACACUGAUGCACUCAACGAGUUUACGACCUUGCCCGAUAGGGUUGGGUAAUCUUUUUAAAAUGCAUCGUGAUGGGGAUAGAUUAUUGCAAUUAUUAAUCUUCAACGAGGAAUUCCUAGUAAGCGCGAGUCAUCAGCUCGUGCUGAUUACGUCCCUGCCCUUUGUACACACCGCCCGUCGCUCCUACCGAUUGAGUGCUCAGGUGAAUAAUUCGGACUGCAGCAAUGUUUGGAUCCCGAACGUUGCAGCGGAAAGUUUAGUGAACCUUAUCACUUAGAGGAAGGAGAAGUCGUAACA
rnacentral:rRNA from 1 species